ACACUAUCAUUACCUGAAUACAGAGGGUAAUGAAGCGAACCGGGAGAACUGAAACAUCUAAGUACCCCGAGGAAAAGAAAUCAAACGAGAUUCCCCCAGUAGCGGCGAGCGAACGGGGAGCAGCCCAGAACCUUAAUCACUAUCAGCAUCAGGAGAACAGUCUGGAAAGGCUGGCCGCAGCAGGUGAUAGCCCUGUAUCCGAAGGUGUUGGUAGUGUGAGUUCGAUGAGUAAGGCGGGACACGUGUUAUCCUGUCUGAAUA
rnacentral:rRNA from 1 species